ensembl:lncRNA
ACGCCGACGGAUGAGGAAUUCAAGCCCCGGAUAUCCGGCUCCACCAGUGCCCCGGAUAUAUCGUCCCCAUAGGUAGCGCGUUGUCAUACCAUACGUUUCGAGAUUGGUGUUUCAUAAAAUUCAAUUUAUGUAAUUAAAUGAACCAAACAGCAAGUUAAGAUUUUGACUUCGUUAAUGGAAUAAUGUUACAACUUAAAAGACAUUCCCACAGACGCUUUGUUUCACAGUCAGUCAACGCCUGCCCUCUGAUGGACAAAACGAGAACUGCGGGCAGUAUAUUUUUUGUGGCCAGGAGAUUACAUACAAGGUCCCAUGAGCUCUACCGGAAGGGGCGUUACUUCGCCACUCCAUUGGAAACCUUCUCAUACACACAAUGGUAGUAGCAGUUUAAUAGUUAUAGAACGUUAAACGAUAAACAAGUGUCCCUUUAUUGAGCUUCCGACAGUAAAAAAAAAAGGAAAACUGCAGAACUCGCUGUGCAGCUCUUUGGCGCUCCCUGGUGGCGCCCCCUGCUGGUGUCGCCCCCUGCUGGCGGUCUCAGCGCACUGCCGUCAAGUUUCAUGAAAGAACGCGUCAAGGUAACAGUUGACGUCUCUGAGUUCGAGGCAUCGACGGCGUUCAAGCCCACCCCAGCCUACACCGUGAAAACAGAGGCACAACUGGCCUUUCUAGAAGGGUGGUGUUGUC